rnacentral:rRNA from 1 species
UACGUAGGGGGCAAGCGUUGUCCGGAUUUACUGGGCGUAAAGCGCGCGUAGGUGGCCCGCUCAGUCCGGUCUGAAAGCCCCCGGCUCAACCGGGGAGGGUGGCUGGAAACUGUCGUUCUUGAGGGCGAGAGAGGAGUGUGGAAUUCCUGGUGUAGCGGUGAAAUGCGUAGAUAUCGGGAGGAACACCGGUGGCGAAGGCGGCGACCUGGGUCGACAGUGACGCUGAGGAGCGAAAGCCAGGGGAGCAAACGGG